GACGUAGGGCGCGAGCGUUGUCCGGAUUUAUUGGGCGUAAAGAGCUCGUAGGCGGCUUGUCGCGUCGUCCGUGAAAACUCACAGCUCAACUGUGAGCUUGCGGUCGAUACGGGCAGGCUAGAGUUCGGUAGGGGAGACUGGAAUUCCUGGUGUAGCGGUGAAAUGCGCAGAUAUCAGGAGGAACACCGGUGGCGAAGGCGGGAUCCUGGGCCAGUACUGACGCUGAGGCACGAAGGCCAGGGGAGCAAACGGG
rnacentral:rRNA from 1 species